UACGGAGGGUGCGAGCGUUGUCCGGAAUCACUGGGCGUAAAGGGCGCGUAGGUGGCCUGUGGAAGUCUGCGGUGAAAGCCCGGCGCUCAACGCCGGGUCGGCCGUGGAUACUCUCGGGCUUGAGCUUACUAGAGGCAGAUGGAAUUCCGGGUGUAGCGGUGGAAUGCGUAGAGAUCCGGAAGAACACCGGUGGCGAAGGCGGGUCUCUGGGCAAUAACUGACGCUGAGGAGCGAAAGCGUGGGGAGCGAACAGG
rnacentral:rRNA from 1 species